rnacentral:lncRNA from 1 species
GGGUUUUUCAUUGUGCGAUGGUGAUAAUGUCGGGAGGCAAAAGGACCAUCAGAUCAGAUCGGAUGGUGAGUGCGAUGGUAUUGAAUUCUGACGCUGCACUGCUGCCGUUUAUUCGGUGCAGUUCGAUGCGUCCAACAGAAAGUUCACGUCGACAACAAGACGAAACAGCGAGUGUAUUACUAUCACCCAGAUUAUUAUUGCCUCUGGUACUCCUAUGAUCGAUCCUAUCUAUUUAAGCAGUACUAAACUCUUGUUUAUCUGCAUGUAAGUAAGUUCAGGAACUUUUACAUUCUGUCACCAUCCAUUGCAGGAGGAGGUCUUCCUGUUCUUGUUUCUGCAAACAAAGAAACAAAAAAACAAGAGAUUGGCAGCUGCACUGCAAGGUUAAGGUUGUUCGCUUCAUCAUGGUAAGAGAGAAAACAAAGAAUAGAAAGGUUCCCAAGAGUUUGGUCUCCUACGGAGCAAGCAGCCGUGCUGUCAUUGCUGCAACUCAUGCAAUGCAACAGUUCGUCCACUACAGCUUUUGGUUGUGGCUGGUCAGAGAUGUAGUAUAUCAGACGAGAACCAUGGCUCCCAACCACUGCUAUGCCGACCUUACUUACUGUUCACCAAACCGCUAUUUACCACGGCUGCAGAUAUACAGUGGCUUCAGCUACCACUGUUCUACUCUCUCUGGUUCAUUGAUGCAGUACGUGUUCCAGGGCACCACCACUGCACUGCACCAGCUUGUUUUGUACAUUUGCAGAGCAUGCAUGAGCCCCCCCUCCCCCUAGUGUACUACUAGCAAAGGCAUCGCCUCAAGAUUCCUCUCAUCUUUGAUCCAUGUUGGAGCAUUCUGGACAAAGAUCAUGCAGCACACAGGACCGGCUAUCCCUGUAGCCUCAUGUGCUUAAUGAUCCAGCCAUUUGUACUGUUCUCAACAGGCAAAGUACAAUUAGAUUCUGAAAACUAAGGGAGGUCACUCCAAAUGACGCUGUGCUUAAACACAGAGCAAAUGGCAGCAGUGAUGAUCAAAUUCAAUCCCAUAAUGUGGAGCAGAAUAGAACGCAAGGCUGUAUUUGGGGGGGGUGGUCCAUGGACCAUGGAUGCAGACUGCAGAGAGACCGAGACGUGUUUGGCAGUGAAUACCUUCACUACUGCUCACACAUGGUAGGGGACUGAGCUGCCAUUCUUCUUUCUCUGAAGAAGAUGAGCACUUAGCCGAAACAAGGGCCUACAUUGGCACAGGGCUGGAGAAUAGUGACAGUGCACGCAGGAGGGACCAUUUGCUCUGCUCCUCUGAUCGAUCGCUCACGCAUGCCUGUUGUUUUGUUUUCUUUUUCUUUUUGUGUUUCUUGUCUGUCUCAAUCUCUCUCUCUCUUCUGUUAUGGAGAUGUUGAAUCGGAAUAUGGAACAGUUUUAGGUUUGCGUCGUGCUAAUUAUGAGGAAAAUAACCGCUCAUCUCAUCAUUUGCAUCAUGAACAGUUUGAGCAAAUCGUAAACCCUAAGAGUCUAUUGUGAUCAGAAAUCAGAAGCGAAAACUGAAAAACGCAGCACAAACAGAACGUGAAACAAGAAAGAAAUAAAGCGGGCAAUAAGUAUAGGAAUUUACCAAGGGAAGCGCUUAAUUUCCAGCUGGAUCCUCGAGCGUUUUCAUGGCAGCUCCGGCGCCGGCGUGGGAUCGGUCGCCGUCGGCGAACCUGCUCGCGGGCGGAG